AUGACAGUGUACUACUGCAUGCCAGGUCUUCAAGUCAACACAAAUGGGCUUAGAGUGAUCAAUGGAGAGGAUGCCACAGAUAACAUGAGAGCUUUUGUGACAUUUGGGCAUCAUUUCAUGGAUAUUUUUUUGGAACAUGAUGAUUCUAUCAGGGAUCUUGAUGAUGUAGUUAGGUUCCCAAUUCAAGAUCUCCCAAAAGUCAUCAGCCCAAUGAAGCCAUUGAAUGUGGUCAGACCUGAAUCAGGGGAAGGUUUCAGGACAGCAACUGAAGUACUAAAGGAGAAAGGCAAGUCAGUUAUCAAUAUGGAUGCAGAUGAUGUUCAUGACAAUGAUGCAAGUGGAGGAUCAACAGAUUCAGAAGAAGAGGGUAGUGACAUUGAUUAUGUGCCUGAAAUUGCAGAUAGUGACUAUGCCAUAUCAGAGGGAGAUGAUGACUUGUAUGUGAACAAUUGCUUUGAUGCUGUAGAGGAGAAUAGGAAUGAGGAAAAAUUAGAUGUGUCAGAAGAUGAUGAGUUAAGAAGGCCAGAUUCUGAUGAUGAAGGAAUAAUUGAGAUGAACUUCAAGACAUUUAGGGAUGAAGAUUUAAUAAGCCCUAAAUUUCAUGUUGGGCAAGUUUUUCAGAAUGUGCAGCUGCUUAGGAAGGCUAUCAAAGAAUACUCAUGCAGGAACAGGGUCAACCUGAAGAUGCCAACUAAUGACAAGAUGAGGGUUUGUGCAAAAUGUGAGGAGGGGUGCCCUUGGUAUCUAUGGGAAUCCAAUGACAAUAGGACAAAGGCAUUCAUGGUUAAGAAGCUUGUGGACAAACACACAUGCAACAAGAAAUGGCAAGUGAAAAGCUUCACAGCUCCAUACAUGGCAGAGAAGUAUUUGGACUCAUUUAGGGCAGAUGAAAACAUGAGCAUGAAGAACUUCUCUAGGGUGGUGCAGGAACAAUGGAAUAUGAAGCCUACAAGGAGUAAGCUUAGGAGAGCAAAAAGGUUGGCUCUUAAUAUUGUCCAUGGAGAUGAGGAGAAACAGUACAAUAAGCUUUGGGACUAUGCAAAUGAAUGGAGAAGGUCAAAUCCAGGGAGCAGAUUUUAUUUAGCAGCAGAUACAGAUGGUACUUUCCUACACUGCUAUUUCUCUUUGGAGCCAUGCAAGAGAGGGUUUAUGCAGGCUUGUAGGCCAGUAAUCUGCCUAGAUGGAUGCCAUUUGAAGACCAGAUAUGGAGGUGUUCUUCUCACUGCAGUUGGCCUAGAUCCAAAUGAUUGCAUCUAUCCAAUUGCUUGUGCUAUUGUUGACAUUGAGAACACUGACACCUGGAGGUGGUUCUUAUCCUCUCUGAAACAAGACCUAGCCAUUACUGAAACUGAUCUGUGGACUAUUAUGUCUGACAAGCAGAAGGGUUUGAUCAAAGCUGUCAGAGAUUACUUUCCACAUGCAGAGCACAGGUUCUGUGUCAGGCACUUGUGGCAAAACUACCAACAGCAGUUUAGGGGUGAAGUGCUCAAGAACCAGCUGUGGAAAUGUGCUAGGAGCACAACUCCUUCUGAUUUUGAACAGAACAUGGAAGAGCUUAGAGUGAUAAACUUUGAAGCAUGGAAAUGGCUGUCAGGGAUAGACCCCAACACUUGGGUUAGGGCAUAUCAACAAGAGUUCCCCAAGUGUGAUAUUCUUCUCAAUAAUGCUUGUGAAGUGUUUAACAAGUACAUUCUUGAGGCCAGAGAGCUCCCCAUAUUGUCAUUGAUCAUGACAAUAAAAAAGCAGUUGAUGACAAGGUUCUACAACAAGAGAGAGGAAGCAGAAACAUGGGAUGGCACUGUUUGCCCCAAAAUUAAGAAAAGACUUGAGAAGAAUGAUGAUUUGUUAGCUACAUGUCAUGCAUCAAAUGCAGGGGAUGGAAUAUUCCAGGUUGAUAACAAAGGGAGAUCUUACAUAGUGGACAUAAAAGCUUUAAGUUGUACUUGCAAAAGGUGGGACCUCAAUGGCAUACCAUGCCAUCAUUCUGUUGUUUGCUGCAAAGAUGAGAGAAUUGAGCCUGAGGACCUAGUUGACAAAUGCUACAACAUUGCCUCAUUUCUGAAAGCCUACCAGCCUAUCAUCAUGCCAGACAGAGAUGAGAGAGAGUGGGAAAAGAUGCAUGGUCCAGUGAUCAAACCCCCACCCAAGAAGAAUGACAAAAAGGGAAGGCAUCAGAAGAAUAGAAGGAAACAACCACAUGAAGCCAAGGACAAGAGAGGAGGCAAAAAGCUCACAAGGCAUGGUGUGUUCAUCACUUGCUCUCAUUGCCAAGAGGAGGGUCACAACAGAGCAGGUUGCAACAAGAGGAAAGCUGGUUUGCCACCUGUGAGGCAUGUGCCACAACCACAACCUAUUCCUCCUAUUCCUGUUGACUCAUCAGAUGAUGAACAACAGAAUGUGCAUCAAGUUGAAGUUGAUUCAGGCAGUGAAGAAAGUGAAGAGGAACCAGUAAUAACUCAGGAAGUGUUUGGUGACACAAUGGUACAACAGAUGAGAAGGGAGCAACAAUCAUCUAGGAGACCUAGACUUUCUCAGCAACUCAUGCCUGAAUCAAGCUUCAUUAGCUCAGCAAGAGCUCAGAGCAGUAGCAUGCCACAUGUUACUACAACUGCUAGCAGGGAUGGUAGUCAAGCCAUGAAGCUCAGGCAGAUGAAGAUGGAGAAAGACAGAGAAAUGGCAGAGAAGAGAGAUGCUGCACUGGAGGCACUAAAUGCUGCAGUAGAGAAGAGAGCUGCUGAGGCACAAGAGAAGAGAGACCUGGCUGCAAAGAAGAAAGCAAUAGAAAGAGAAGCAAAGAAGCAUGAAACACAACAGAAAAGAGCUGCUAAUGUUGCAAAGAAGAAGGAAAUAGCUGAAGCAAAUAGAGCAAUUGUCCUACAACAAAGAGAGAAGAAAACAGCAGAGCUGGCAGCUGCUAGAGAGGAGGCAAGGAAGAGAAAAGCUUCUGAGCUUGCUGCCAAAAGAAAGGAAGAUCAGCACAACAGGUCCAGGCUGAAGAGGGCCUCUACAAGUGCACAUGACAUGGGAGGUGGCUCUACAAGCAAGAAAACCAGGAAGGUCAGCAUGUUUGAUGAACUGAGAGAGCCUAGGAAGUAG
rnacentral:rRNA from 1 species